rnacentral:rRNA from 1 species
GACGAACCGUGCGAACGUUAUUCGGAAUCACUGGGCUUAAAGCGCGUGUAGGCGGGAGGGCACGUCCGUUGCUGAAAUCCCCCGGCUCAACCGGGGAACGGGCGCGGAUACGACUCUCCUUGAGGGGCGUAGGGGGACCUGGAACUUCCGGUGGAGCGGUGAAAUGCGUUGAGAUCGGAAGGAACGCCCGUGGCGAAAGCGGCUCUCUGGACCGAUACUGACGCUCAGGCACGAAAGCGUGGGGAGCAAAAGGG